UACAGAGGGUGCAAGCGUUAAUCGGAAUUACUGGGCGUAAAGCGCAUGUAGGUGGUGAUGUAAGUUUGAUGUGAAAUCCCCGGGCUUAACCUGGGAAUGGCAUUGAAUACUGUAUUGCUUGAGUCUGACAGAGGGCAGUGGAAUUUCCGGUGUAGCGGUGAAAUGCGUAGAGAUCGGAAAGAACAUCGGUGGCGAAGGCGGCUGCCUGGGUCAAGACUGACACUUAAGUGCGAAAGCGUGGGGAGCAAACAGG
rnacentral:rRNA from 1 species